GAUGAACGCUGGCGGCGUGCCUAACACAUGCAAGUCGAGCGAAAAGAUGAUGAGCUUGCUCCUCUGACGGUAGCGGCUGACGGGUGAGUAACACGUGGAUAACCUACCUAUAAGACGGGGAUGAUCUCGGGAAGAAGCAUCUGAUACCGCAGAAUAUAUCGUACCGCAGGGAGCAAUAGUUAAAGACGCCUUUCCCGUCACAAAGAGAUGGAGUCGCGCCGGAUUAGUUAGUUGGUAAGGGAACGGCCAACCAAGGCAACGAUGCGUAGCUGAGCUGAGAGGCUGAUCGGCCACACUGGAACUGAGACACGGUCCAGACUCCUACGGGAGGCAGCAGUAGGGAAUAUUGCACAAUGGGCGCAAGCCUGACCCAGCAAUGCCGCGUGGGUGAAGAAGGUCUUCGGGUCGUAAAACUCUGUUAUUGGGAAAGAACAGAUGUAUAUGUAUACAUCGCCGUCCUGACGGUACCUAAACAAUAAGCACCGGCUAACUUCGUG
rnacentral:rRNA from 1 species